AGUAACACGUGGGUGACCUGCCCUCAGCUCUGGGAUAAGCCUGGGAAACCGGGUCUAAUACCGGAUAGGACCUGCUUCUGCAUGGGAGUGGGUGGAAAGUUUUUUCGGCUGGGGAUGGGCCCGCGGCCUAUCAGCUUGUUGGUGGGGUGAUGGCCUACCAAGGCGACGACGGGUAGCCGGCCUGAGAGGGCGACCGGCCACACUGGGACUGAGACACGGCCCAGACUCCUACGGGAGGCAGCAGUGGGGAAUAUUGCGCAAUGGGCGGAAGCCUGACGCAGCGACGCCGCGUGGGGGAUGACGGCCUUCGGGUUGUAAACCUCUUUCGCCAGGGACGAAGCGUGAGUGACGGUACCUGGAUAAGAAGCACCGGCCAACUACGUGCCAGCAGCCGCGGUAACACGUAGGGUGCGAGCGUUGUCCGGAAUUAUUGGGCGUAAAGAGCUCGUAGGCGGUGUGUCGCGUCGGCCGUGAAAACCUGGGGCUUAACUCUGGGCUUGCGGUCGAUACGGGCAUCACUGGAGUUCGGC
rnacentral:rRNA from 1 species